rnacentral:rRNA from 1 species
GACGAACGCUGGCGGCGUGCUUAACACAUGCAAGUCGAACGGAAAGGCCCUGCUUUUGUGGGGUGCUCGAGUGGCGAACGGGUGAGUAACAAGUGAGUAACCUGCCCUUGACUUUGGGAUAACUUCAGGAAACUGGGGCUAAUACCGGAUAGGAGCUCCUGCUGCAUGGUGGGGGUUGGAAAGUUUCGGCGGUUGGGGAUGGACUCGCGGCUUAUCAGCUUGUUGGUGGGGUAGUGGCUUACCAAGGCUUUGACGGGUAGCCGGCCUGAGAGGGUGACCGGCCACAUUGGGACUGAGAUACGGCCCAGACUCCUACGGGAGGCAGCAGUGGGGAAUAUUGCACAAUGGGCGGAAGCCUGAUGCAGCAACGCCGCGUGCGGGAUGACGGCCUUCGGGUUGUAAACCGCUUUCGCCUGUGACGAAGCGUGAGUGACGGUAAUGGGUAAAGAAGCACCGGCUAACCACGUG